GACGAACGCUGGCGGCGUGCUUAACACAUGCAAGUCGAACGGAAAGGCCCUGCUUUUGUGGGGUGCUCGAGUGGCGAACGGGUGAGUAACACGUGAGUAACCUGCCCUUGACUUUGGGAUAACUUCAGGAAACUGGGGCUAAUACCGGAUAGGAGCUCCUGCUGCAUGGUGGGGGGUGGAAAGUUUCGGCGGUUGGGGAUGGACUCGCGGCUUAUCAGCUUGUUGGUGGGGUAGUGGCUGACCAAGGCUUUGACGGGUAGCCGGCCUGAGAGGGUGACCGGCCACAUUGGGACUAAGAUACGGCCCAGACUCCAACGGGAGACAGCAGUGGGGAAUAUUGCACAAUGGGCGGGAGCCUGAUGCAGCAACGCCGCGGGCGUGAUGACGGCCUUCUGGUUGUAAACCGCUUUCGCCUGUGACGAAGCGUGAGUGACGGUAAUGAGUAAAGAAGCACCGGCUAACUACGUG
rnacentral:rRNA from 1 species